UACAGAGGUCCCAAGCGUUGUUCGGAUUCAUUGGGCGUAAAGGGUGUGUAGGUGGCGCGCUAAGUCGGGGUGUGAAAUUUCGGAGCUUAACUCCGAAACUGCAUUCGAUACUGGCGUGCUUGAGGACUGGAGAGGAGACUGGAAUUCAUGGUGUAGCAGUGAAAUGCGUAGAGAUCAUGAGGAAGACCAGUGGCGAAGGCGGGUCUCUGGACAGUUCCUGACACUGAGACACGAAGGCCAGGGGAGCAAACGGG
rnacentral:rRNA from 1 species